rnacentral:rRNA from 1 species
AACGAACGCUGGCGGCAUGCCUAACACAUGCAAGUCGAACGAUGCUUUCGGGCAUAGUGGCGCACGGGUGCGUAACGCGUGGGAAUCUGCCCUUGGGUUCGGAAUAACAGUGAGAAAUUGCUGCUAAUACCGGAUGAUGUCUUCGGACCAAAGAUUUAUCGCCCAGGGAUGAGCCCGCGUAGGAUUAGCUAGUUGGUGGGGUAAUGGCCUACCAAGGCGACGAUCCUUAGCUGGUCUGAGAGGAUGAUUAGCCGCACUGGGACUGAGACACGGCCCAGACUCCUACGGGAGGCAGCAGUGGGGAAUAUUGGACAAUGGGCGCAAGCCUGAUCCAGCAAUGCCGCGUGAGUGAUGAAGGCCUUAGGGUUGUAAAGCUCUUUUACCCGAGAUGAUAAUGACAGUACCGGGAGAAUAAGCUCCGGCUAACUCCGUG